rnacentral:rRNA from 1 species
GUCCCAGCCGCCGCGGUAAUACGGAGGGUGCAAGCGUUAUCCGGAUUUAUUGGGUUUAAAGGGUGCGUAGGCGGUUGUAUAAGUCAGCGGUGAAAUUUUCCGGCUUAACCGGGAGACUGCCGUUGAUACUGUAUAGCUUGAAUACGGUUGCUGUGAGUGGAAUGUGUGGUGUAGCGGUGAAAUGCAUAGAUAUCACACAGAAUAUCGAUUGCGAAGGCAGCUCACAAAGCCGUUAUUGACGCUGAUGCACGAAAGUGUGGGGAUCAAACAGGAUUAGAUACCCUGGUAGUCCACACUGUAAACGAUGAUAACUAGCUGUCGGCGAUACAUAGUCGGUGGCCAAGCGAAAGCGAUAAGUUAUCCACCUGGGGAGUACGACCGCAAGGUUGAAACUCAAAGGAAUUGACGGGGGCCCGCACAAGCGGAGGAACAUGUGGUUUAAUUCGAUGAUACGCGAGGAACCUUACCCGGGCUCGAACGGUGCAGUAAUAUGGUAGAGAUAUCAUAGCUAGCAAUAGACUGUAUCGAGGUGCUGCAUGGUUGUCGUCAGCUCGUGCCGUGAGGUGUCGGCUUAAGUGCCAUAACGAGCGCAACCCUUGUCGUUAGUUACCAUCAAGUAAAGUUGGGGACUCUAGCGAGACUGCCACCGUAAGGUGUGAGGAAGGGGGGGAUGACGUCAAAUCAGCACGGCCCUUACGUCCGGGGCGACACACGUGUUACAAUGGUAGGUACAGAGGGCCGCUAUCCAGUGAUGGAGUGCCAAUCUCAAAAACCUAUCUCAGUUCGGAUCGGAGUCUGCAACUCGACUCCGUGAAGUUGGAUUCGCUAGUAAUCGCGCAUCAGCCAUGGCGCGGUGAAUACGUUCCCNGGCCUUGUACACACCGCCCGUCAAGCCAUGGA